UAAAAGGUUUUUUUAAAAGCCAUGCCACUCUUUCUUUGAAGAUUCAU
rfam:Ailuropoda melanoleuca scaffold2203_5, whole genome shotgun sequence.